GUUGUCAAAAAAGUCUUGCGGUAUUUUUAUUUAAUUUUUUUUUUUAUUGAAAUUGAAAUGAAUUUUUGAUGACUCAUGCCUAGCUCUUGCCCGAUGCUACGGCUGCUACUAUGCCGGUCUCUUUCGACCAAUUCAGCGAUUUUAUCGCAAUUUUCGACGACAGGCCUUCCGGAGCGUGGCGCAUCUUCGACCACCUCUACACCAGAACGAAAACGUUGAAACCAUCGUUGUGCGGUGGAAAUGGAAACUGUAUCGGGUCCAUAAACUGCACAAAUUUUAUUGGCGGCUUGAGAUGCAUUUUUGCCUUUAUCGUAGUAGUACUGUAAAAUAUGCCGUAUUUUCUCUUUAUUUUGCUCCAUGUUUGCGACGCUAUAACUCACGAACGACUUAAAAGAAACGACAAUCAAUCAAACACCGCAUGAAAUGAGCUUUCCAAAAAGGUAUAGCAUGACCCGAUGCGACGAAUAAAACUAGAACUACC